rnacentral:rRNA from 1 species
UUCCGGUUGAUCCCGCCGGACCUGACUGCUAUCGGAUUGAUACUAAGCCAUGCGAGUCAUUGUAGUAAUACAAGGCAGACGGCUCAGUAACGCCGUAGUCAACCUAACCUAUGGACGGGAAUAACCUCGGGAAACUGAGUAUAAUGCCCGAUAGAACAUUAUGCCUGGAAUGGUUUAUGUUCCAAAUGAUUUAUCGCCGUAGGAUGGGACUGCGGCCUAUCAGUUUGUUGGUGAGGUAAUGGCCCACCAAGACUAUUACAGGUACGGGCUCUGAGAGGAGUAGCCCGGAGAUGGGUACUGAGACACGGACCCAGGCCCUAUGGGGCGCAGCAGGCGAGAAAACUUUGCAAUGUGCGAAAGCACGACAAGGUUAAUCCGAGUGGUUUCUGCUAAAGGAACCUUUUGUCAGUCCUAGAAACACUGAUGAAUAAGGGGUGGGCAAGUUCUGGUGUCAGCCGCCGCGGUAAAACCAGAACCUCAAGUGGUCAGGAUCGAUUAUUGGGCCUAAAGCAAUCCGUAGCCGGCUCUGUAAGUUUUACGGUUUAAACUCUGUACCGCCUAUAACCGUACCAGGGCUUGCCGGG